rnacentral:rRNA from 1 species
GACGAACGCUGGCGGCGUGCUUAACACAUGCAAGUCGAACGCUGAAGCCUGCUUUCGGGUGGGUGGAUGAGCGGCGUACGGGUGAGUAACACGUGGGUAACCUGUCCUGCACUCGGGAAUAACCUUGGGAAACUGGGGCUAAUACCGGAUGGUCACACGGCUCUCGCAUGGGGGUGUGUGGAAAGCGUUUACGGUGGUGCAGGGUGUGCCCGCGGCCUAUCAGCUGGUUGGUGGGGUAAGGGCCUACCAAGGCGACGACGGGUAGCCGGCCUGAGAGGGUGAUCGGCCACACUGGGACUGAGACACGGCCCAGACUCCUACGGGAGGCAGCAGUGGGGAAUUUUGCGCAAUGGGCGGAAGCCUGACGCAGCAACGCCGCGUGGGGGAGGACGGCCUUCGGGUUGUAAACCUCUUUCGGUUCUGACGAAGCUCUGCGUGUUCGUGGGGUGACGGUAGGGGCAGAAGAAGCACCGGCUAACUACGUGCCAGCAGCCGCCGUAA